rnacentral:lncRNA from 1 species
GAAAAAUAUAUACUUUUAUUAAUGAAGCAAUGGGUCCUUAUUUGCUGAUUCAGUGGUCACAGUUAUACAACAUCGCUACUAUGAAUAACAAGAAUUGAUUGUAAACACGGUACCUCACGGCACUACCCAGAACAUUCCAGAAGGCAACACAUUCUGCAGAGCAAACGGCACCGUCUCUCCAACAAAUCCAUGCCACAGUGCAAAACAAAAGCAAGUAGCCUUGCUAUAUUUGAAAAAAAUCCGUUAAGAGACACAAGACCAGCUUUGAGGGGUGAUCCUGGACCGGGUUUUGGCUUGGACAAAACAAGUUAUAAAGGCUCUUUGUGGGUGGAGGCCGAGGUGGGCGGAUCACCUGAGGUC